GAAAUAGUUCAAGUAGAUUUUGGGCGCUUCACUCUUCACUGCAAAUGACAUCUCUUGGAGAAGAGAACCCCAACAAUGAUACCCUUGUGUUUAUGGAUCUUGCUUUAGAACAGGAUAGUGAAAAUUUGUCUAUCCCUGACAAACACCCAAAGUUGAUUUCCAUGAUGGACCGGUCUGGUUAAGUUACUGUCUGCCUUUCACUGAGGUUUCUGUACAGUUCUGAGACCUCGGCAGUGCAAUUUACAUUUUCUGGUCCUUGUAUAGUAUGAUUGAGUUUGUUUUUGUUGCUUAUCUGUUGUUGUCGGUGCUAUUGGUAGUUCCAAUAAUCUGACUGCGAUUUCCUAUCAAUAAAAGAAAUUUUCCUUCAGAUUCAGCUUUAGUCUUCAUGU